AUGGACAGCGAAGACUGCUUGCCGGAGGGGGGAAAGCUCCCGGAGCUCAAGUUAGAUGCGAGGCAAGCCCAGGGUUUCAUCUCCUUCUUCAAGAAGUUGCCGAAGGAUCCUCGGGCCAUUCGUUUCUUUGAUCGCCGGGAUUAUUACACUGCUCAUGGUGAGAAUGCAACCUUUAUUGCAAAGGCAUACUAUCACACAAUGACUGCCUUAAGGCAACUGGGCGUUAACUCUGAUGGAAUCUCAAGUGUCAGUGUUAGCAGGGCUAUGUUUGAGACCAUUGCACGCAACCUUUUGUUAGAUAGGACGGACCAUACACUGGAGCUCUAUGAGGGAAGUGGGUCAAGUUGGAGGUUAACAAAAUCUGGAACACCUGGAAACAUUGGCAGUUUUGAAGAUAUUCUGUUUGCUAAUAAUGACAUGCAAUAUUCUCCGGUUACUGUUGCAUUGUUUCCUGUCUUCCGUGAAGGUCAGCUAUAUGUAGCGCUUAGUUUUGUGGAUAUGACGAACCGGAAGCUGGGGUUGGCUGAGUUCCCUGAAGAUAGUCGAUUCACAAAUGUGGAAUCAGCCCUUGUUGCAUUAGGUUGCAAGGAGUGUCUUCUUCCAGCAGAUUUUGAGAAAUCAAUAGAUUUGCAGCCUCUUCAGGAUGCUAUUAGCAAUUGCAGUAUUCUAUUGACUGAAAGAAAGAAGGCUGAAUUUAAAUCUAGAGAUCUUGUGCAGGAUCUUGGCAGAAUAAUCAGGGGUUCUGUCGAGCCAGUUCGUGAUCUCCUAUCUCAGUUUGACUAUGCUUUGGGUGCCCUUGGAGCUCUAGUAUCAUAUGCUGAGUUGCUAGCAGAUGACACUAAUUAUGGAAAUUACACGAUUGAGAAAUUCAAUUUGGACCGCUACAUGCGACUUGAUUCUGCUGCGGUGCGAGCAUUGAAUAUUGUUGAAGGAAAAGCUGAUGUAAACAAGAAUUUUAGUUUGUUUGGUUUGAUGAACAGAACUUGCACUGCUGGGAUGGGAAAGCGACUUCUUAACAAAUGGCUGAAACAACCUUUGAUAGAUGUAAACGAAAUCAAUAACAGAUUAGAUAUGGUUCAGGCUUUCGCAGAAGAUCCAGAGCUUUGUCAGGGUCUUAGGCAACAACUUAAAAGGAUAUCUGAUAUUGAUCGCCUAACACAUGCUCUCCGUAAGAAAUCAGCUAACCUGCAGCCUGUUGUUAAGCUCUACCAGUCCUGCUCUAGAAUCCCGUACAUCAAGGGUGUUCUUCAACAAUACAAUGGCCAAUUUUCUACAUCUGUAAUGACAAGGUUCCUUAGCUCUUUAGAAGAGUGGCUGACAGAGAAUCGAUAUGGCAGGUUUGCUAAUCUUGUUGAGACAGCCAUUGACCUCGGUCAAGUAGACAAUGGCGAGUACAGGAUAUCUCCCCUAUAUUCUUCUGAUUUGGCUGUGCUGAAGGAUGAGCUUUCUGAAGUCGAAAAUCACAUAAACAAUUUGCACAUGCAUACAGCCACUGAUCUGGAUCUUUCUGUUGAUAAGCAAUUGAAGCUAGAAAAAGGCCCAUUUGGACAUGUGUUCAGAAUCUCGAAGAAAGAUGAACAGAAAGUCAGGAAAAAGCUCACGACCAAUUACAUUAUCAUAGAAACUCGUAAAGAUGGUGUGAAGUUUACAAGCGCCAAGCUUAAAAAGCUAGGUGACCAAUACCAGUCACUGCUUGGUGAUUACACAAGUUGCCAGAAAAAGAUUGUCGAUAAUGUAGUGCAAGUUUCAUGCACCUUCUCAGAGGUAUUUGAGAAUUUUGCUGCAAUUAUAUCUGAGUUGGAUGUUUUACAGAGUUUUGCUGAUUUGGCAAUAAGUUGCCCAGUUCCUUAUGUAAGACCAGACAUCACAACAUCGGAGGAAGGAGAUAUUAUUCUACAAGGUAGUCGGCAUCCUUGUGUGGAGGCCCAAGAUGGUGUUAACUUCAUACCAAAUGAUUGCAUUUUGGCGAGGGGAAAAAGUUGGUUUCAAAUCAUCACUGGGCCAAACAUGGGUGGAAAAUCCACUUUUAUACGUCAGGUUGGCGUAAAUGUCUUGAUGGCACAAGUUGGUUCCUUUGUUCCUUGUGAUCAGGCAAGCAUUAGUGUGAGAGAUUGUAUUUUUGCUCGUGUUGGUGCUGGUGAUUGCCAACUCCGUGGUGUUUCAACCUUUAUGCAAGAGAUGCUUGAAACAGCAUCCAUUUUGAAAGGUGCAUCUGAGAAAUCUCUCAUAAUUAUCGAUGAGUUGGGACGAGGAACUUCCACAUAUGAUGGAUUUGGUCUUGCAUGGGCUAUCUGUGAGCAUCUUGUGGAAGUGACUAGGGCGCCUACAUUGUUUGCAACUCAUUUUCAUGAAUUAACUGCAUUAGCAAAUAAAAAUGGUGAUCAGCACCAACAUGUUCCAGAUUUGGGAAUUGCAAAUUAUCAUGUGGGUGCACAUAUGGACCCAUCAAGUCGGAAGUUGACUAUGCUUUAUAAGGUCUUCAUCAUGAUAAUGUCCCUAUUUUCUAGCGGCAGUUGUGUCCAAAAGGUUGAACCUGGUUCCUGCGACCAAAGUUUUGGUAUCCAUGUUGCGGAAUUUGCUAAUUUUCCAGAAGCUGUCAUUGCUCUUGCAAAAAGCAAAGCUGAAGAGUUAGAAGACUUUACCAGUGCACCUAACUUGAGUGGUGAACCCAGUGACGAGGUUGGAUCGAAACGCAAGAGGGUGUUUAGCCCAGAUGAUGUGACGAGGGGAGCUGCUCGGGCUCGCCUUUUGUUGGAGGAUUUUGCUGCAUUGCCUCUAGAUGAGGUGGAUGGGAGCAAGGCUACGGAGAUGGUGGCCAAACUGAAAUCAGACUUCGAGAAAGACGCAACCAGUAAUCCCUGGCUGCAGCAGUUCCUGAGUGGAAUGGAUCUCUGA
rnacentral:rRNA from 1 species